rnacentral:rRNA from 1 species
GACGAACGCUGGCGGCGUGCUUAACACAUGCAAGUCGAACGGAAAGGCCCUGCUUUUGUGGGGUGCUCGAGUGGCGAACGGGUGAGUAACACGUGAGUAACCUGCCCUUGACUUUGGGAUAACUUCAGGAAACUGGGGCUAAUACCGGAUAGGAGCUCCUGCUGCAUGGUGGGGGUUGGAAAGUUUCGGCGGUUGGGGAUGGACUCGCGGCUUAUCAGCUUGUUGGUGGGGUAGUGGCUUACCAAGGCUUUGACGGGUAGCCGGCCUGAGAGGGUGACCGGCCACAUUGGGACUGAGAUACGGCCCAGACUCCUACGGGAGGCAGCAGUGGGGAAUAUUGCACAAUGGGCGGAAGCCUGAGGCAGCAACGCCGCGUGCGGGAUGACGGCCUUCGGGUUGUAAACCGCUUUCGCCUGUGACGAAGCGUGAGUGACGGUAAUGGGUAAAGAAGCACCGGCGAACUACGU